rnacentral:tRNA from 2 species
GUGGCCGUAGCUCAGUUGGUAGAGCCCCAGAUUGUGAUUCUGGUUGUCGUGGGUUCGAGCCCCAUCGGCCACCCCA